GAUGAACGCUGGCGGUAUGCUUAACACAUGCAAGUCGAACGGACUCUUCGGAGUUAGUGGCGGACGGGUGUGUAACGCGUGAGAAUCUGGCUUUGGGUUCGGGACAACCACUGGAAACGGUGGCUAAUACCGGAUGUGCCGUGAGGUAAAAGAGAAAUUGCCUGAAGAUGAGCUCGCGUCUGAUUAGCUAGUUGGUGAGGUAAAGGCUCACCAAGGCAGCGAGCAGUAGCUGGUCUGAGAGGAUGACCAGCCACACUGGGACUGAGACACGGCCCAGACUCCUACGGGAGGCAGCAGUGGGGAAUUAUCCGCAAUGGGCGAAAGCCUGACGGAGCAAUACCGCGUGAGGGAAGAAGGCUCUUGGGUUGUAAACCUCUUUUCUUAGGGAAGAACAAAAUGACGGUACCUAAGGAAUCAGCAUCGGCUAACUCCGUG
rnacentral:rRNA from 1 species